GGGGAAUAUUGCGCAAUGGGGGAAACCCUGACGCAGCAACGCCGCGUGCGGGAUGAAGGCCUUCGGGUUGUAAACCGCUUUCAGCAGGGACGAAGGGUUUCUGACGGUACCUGCAGAAGACGCACCGGCUAACUACGUGCCAGCAGCCGCGGUGAUACGUAGGUGCGAGCGUUGUCCGGAAUUAUUGGGCGUAAAGAGCUUGUAGGCGGUCCGUCGCGUCGGAAGUGAAAACUCAGGGCUUAACCCUGAGCCUGCUUUCGAUACGGGCAGACUUGAGGGAUGUAGGGGAGAACGGAAUUCCUGGUGGAGCGGUGGAAUGCGCAGAUAUUAGGAGGAACACAGGUGGCGAAGGCGGCUUGCUGGACAAAUACUGACGCUGAGGUGCGAAUGCGUGGGGAGCAAACA
rnacentral:rRNA from 1 species